rnacentral:rRNA from 1 species
GGGGAAUCUUCCGCAAUGGGCGAAAGCCUGACGGAGCAACGCCGCGUGAGUGAAGAAGGUCUUCGGAUCGUAAAGCUCUGUUGUCGGGGACGAAUGUUGAGAUCUAGAAUAUAGAUAUCAAAUGACGGUACCUGACGAGGAAGCCACGGCUAACUACGUGCCAGCAGCCGCGGUAAUACGUAGGUGGCGAGCGUUGUCCGGAAUUAUUGGGCGUAAAGGGAGCGCAGGCGGGAAGGUAAGUCUAUCUUAAAAGUGCGGGGCUCAACCCCGUGAGGGGAUAGAAACUAUCAUUCUUGAGUGCAGGAGAGGAAAGCGGAAUUCCUAGUGUAGCGGUGAAAUGCGUAGAUAUUAGGAGGAACACCAGUGGCGAAGGCGGCUUUCUGGACUGUAACUGACGCUGAGGCUCGAAAGCCAGGGGAGCGAAC